AUUUAAAUCCAAAUAUAAUUGAAACCAAUACAAAGCAAAUUGAUUAAGGACAUAUAAACCUUUUAAUGUUGACAUUUAAACUUGAUCAGGUGUAAACAUGCUCGAGUAAACAUGUCUUUAUAAUUCACAUCCUGGUACGUUAUACGCAGCCAUUUUGAGAUAGUGAGGGAAAAUGAUUGUUUGACCAUACAAAUAACAGCUAAGGUUAUGGCAUCAAGUAAACCUGUACCAUGUGGACCAUGUAAACAGGAAAAAGAAAACACUAAAGCUGACAUAUGGUGUUACAACUGUGAUGAAGGAUUAUGCUCAUCAUGUUCUUGUCAUCAUAAAAAGUUUAUAUCAACUCGUGAUCACAAGACCAUUGAUAUUCAAAUCUACAAACCUCACAUCGGCCCUAUCACAACAGAAUGCGACAAACAUUAUCAACAGUUCAACUUGUACUGCCCAGUCAUUUAAUGCCUUGCUGUGAUGAAUGUAUUUCCACUCAUCAUUCAAAAUGUUUUGGAAUAAAAAGUUUAACAGCUGUAGUGGAGAUUACCAAGAUUGAUACAUCAAAAGAAUCAAUAGAUAAAGAUAUAAACUCUAUCUUACUUUUCUUGAAUAGAAUGGCUAACAAAAAAUCAUGUAACAUAAAGAAAGGAGAACAACAAUGCGAAAGCAUAAAUGAAUCGAUCGGUAAAAUUCGGGAGGAAUUCAACAAACAUUUAGACAAGCUAGAAAAGAAGCUAUGGAAAGAAGCAGAUACUGUAUGGGGUCAAGAGAAAUCCAAAUUGACAGGUUUCAUUACUGAAAUUGACGAAAAAAAGAAAAACUUAAAGAAAAUGCAGGAUGAUUUACAAACAGUUACAGAACAGACUUCAAUACUUCAAUCCUUUUUUAGGGGUACAUCAGAUUGGAGAAAUCGUACAUCAAUAUCAAAGAUAUAAUGAUGAUAUGGAAAACAAUGACGUGACAUUUGAAGUUGAUAUCCAAAUAGAGCAAAUUGGUGAGAUAGAAAAGAUACUGUGCGACCUACAAUCAAUAAAAUCCUUAGGAGAAAUGACGGUCUCUAAAACCGAAAUAGCCAUUAAUAGAGAAACAACUGUAAACAGGGAAGCACAAGUUGUAACACGAACACAAUCCUGCAUAGACAAAAUGACAAUGCAUAUUGAGACAAAGACAAAAAUAGAGGUCAACAUAAAGACGAGUAUUGGUGACAUGAUUUGUCUGUCUGAUGGAAGAAUUAUACUAGUUGAAGAGUUUGGUAAUGUUUUCCUACUUAUUUCGGAUGGCAAAAUUCAUAAAACAGUUACCCAUACCUGGUAACGCCGUCUGUGUUACACAGAUCAGCAAGACUACGAUUGCCAAAACUUAUCCUGAAGAGUUUACCAUUAAGAUCUUCAAUAUAGAGGAUGAAACUGUGACCAAACUUAUCAAACUAAACAGUUGCUGCUACGGCUUAUCAUUCUCCAAUGAAUCUCUUCUUGUAUGUUUAGGUAGUAAUGAAAUCCGUAUUAUAGAUUUGGAAGGAAAUACACUGAAUUUAUUACAGGUUAAGAAUAAACUGUAUAUGCAAUACUAGUACCUUGUUUUCUCUGAUGACAGAGUAAUCUAUAGUGACCAUUUUGGUAAUGCAGUAAACUGUAUUGAUAGAUCAGGUCAACAGAUCUGGCAAUAUAAACAGGACUUAUCAGGUCCAGAAGGACUCUGUACAGAUACUUCUGGUAAUAUCAUUGUAGCAGACUUGAGUUCUAAAAUAAUAGUAAUAUCAAAAGAUGGACAGGAUAGUAAGGUACUGGUUAGAAAAGAGGAUGGAUUGAAUUAUCCGAAGUGUAUUUAUUUUAGAAAUAAUAAAUCUUACGGUUUUGUUUGUAACAGAACGGGCAAAUACUUUGCAAAAUACAAUCUUAGUUAUGACUAGAUAUAUGCACUGAACAUUAGACUAGUGAUAAUAUAAUACUUGUCAAUAAAAGUACAAUGUACAGUACGCAUGAAUUAAAUUAUGAAGAUCAAUUAUAUCUUUUAAAACAUUUGAAAAGUGAUAGAUUAAACUUAAUCAACAAACUUGUAUGGAUAAAUAUUGAAAUAACGAUGGUUAUGUUUUUGAGAAAAAAAAUAUAUGUCAGCAACAAA